CUUAAGACGGUGUCUGGCGAGUGGGCCUGCGCACCGGAAGGAGGCCAGCGCAUCCAGAUGCCCUCCCGCCCGAUUGCGGACCCGGGUGUCCUUCAGCCGUGCUCGGGGUCCUCUCUGCCCUCACACUGCUCACCCUAAUUCCCCCCGGACUCCCAGGCCACUCGCUACUCGGGGUCCUCAGCCCUCACCAAACCCCGCUGCUUUCUGGUCCCCUUGGGGGCAUCUUUGCGGUGCGGCCAACUUCAUCACGCACCGCCCUGGGGCUGGGCGACUCCACAAGUCUCUGGUCGUCCCCCUGGGGAGCUCCCCGCACUGCGGUGGUGGGCGUAGUGACGUCGUGUGCUGCCGCGAAACCAGGCACCAGGCGUCCUCCCCGAAGACCCCUGCCAUGGGCACCUCAGCGCCAGCACAGCGUGCCUUCCCAGCAGUCGCUGGAGCUGGGGAGGGAGGGGUACCCCACCUCCACAGUCAUUUCCCUUGAAGGGACCGCAGCCCAGCACCUGCACUCCGCCCCGCAGCUCCCACCCACCCCAACCAGAUCCAAGGAGACGCUUCUCCAUCUUUCCCAAAACCACCUGCCAAAGGAGAAAGUCAUAGUUGUCCCUAGCAACGGUAGAAAGGAUGAAAACAUCUGCCCGCACCCCCCCCUUCCGUUUCCAUUGCACUUGUUAGCCUGGUCAGUUUCUCUGUUUCUCGAGGCAAAUGAUAUUUUCCUUGGAAUUAAUGUAAGAUUUGACAUUUUUCAAAGAAUUGAUUCAUUUCAUUUCAUUUUUAAAUUACUAGCAUAUCUAUGCUGGUAUUGUUUCUGUACUUAUUUUAUUCUGUAUUUUAUUUGAAUUUUUCUUUUUAGAUAUUUAAGUAUUUUCGGAGGCCCGUCUUUCAGUUGUGUUGAUGUUCUAGCUUUUCCCUUAUCUCACUUAUUUCUGUCUGCAUCUGUUCCUCCCUUGGAGAGUCUUGGGGAAUCUUUCGCUCUGUCUUAUAGCAAAUGCCUAGCUCAUUUUUAAACCUUCCAAUUUUCUGAUAGAUUAUUUAAGCUACCCACAUCCUUCUAUGGGCUGCCUUAGCUGGAUCUCACAAAUUUGGUCAUACAAUGCGUUCGUUAUCAUUCAGGUCGAAAUGACAAUUUGUCUCUGAUGAUUUCCUUUUAAACCCAUGGGUUAUUUAAUAACAUUUACUUUCCAACAGUGUUUGUUUUAUUUUAACCCUUUGUUACAGGUUCCCAGUUGCAUUUGGUCAUGGAUUAAAGUGUGUUCAGUCAAGAUCCUGGCAGAGUGCAGAUAUCAUACUCGGAGUUACCUGGGGCAGAGGUGUGGUGGGAGGUCAGGAAAUCCCAGGGCAGGUGGCCCUGCAGCCUUCCACCUGCAGGUGGGGGAGUUAGGGUGCACCAGCCACCCACCCACAGGAAGGGAGCAAGGGGACCAAACACCUUAGCCUGACCUGGUGUCACUUUGGCUGAGCCCUAGGGGAAACUGGAGCAGGGAGCUUGGAGCAUCUGGGGUGAUCCCCUAAAGAGUGGGAUAAAGGGACUGAAGAGGAGAGCACACAGUUGGAGGCCUCGCCCCUCUGGGUCCUAAUGCUGGUCCAUGUCUAUAAAUGCUCUGCCUGUGCUCCCAGUGGCUGUGCUGGCUGUGUGGUGGGUACAGAUUUCUGUAUUUCUGCUAAAUUAAGUCAACUUGAGCUCUUAAUCUUUUAUAAAAUUGAAAUCUUCAAUUAGGGGCUGGCAAUGUGAUUCAGGGGUAGGGUAUUUAUUUGCCUAGUAGGUGCAAGGCCCUGGAUAUGAUACCCAGCCCUGAAGAAGGAAAAAAGAAAGAAAGAAAGAAAAAUAUCUCCAGCUACAAUCUUGGAAUAUCUGCCUCCCCACCCCCAGCCUGGGGGGCGGGGUUGCCGGAUGUGCCACACUGGAGAGAGUCAAGUGAUUUUGAGGUUGUGCAUCAAGAUUCUGUGACUUCCUCCUUAGAAUACUUGUGUGUCCUUUGUCUGUGGUUUGAGGUUUUUACAUUUUUUUUUUACUUUUAAUUUGAGGAUUAUAUAUGAAGACCUCCACCCAGUUUCCUGAGGUUCAUGUUUGCUAAAUUUUUAUAUUAAAUUUUUGUAUCCUUUUUUUAAGUGUUUCUCUUUCAGACAAACCAUGGUUGGAACCAAGUCUGCCAUUUCUACCUUUAACUGUAAUUUGAUCCACUUACAUUCACAGUGAUGCUGGAUGUCUAGGCUGACUUUUGCCACCUUAUUAAGACUUCCACUUCCUCCAUGCUAUCGUCCUUAUUUCUCAUGGCAUGCUGGGCUUUCUUCUGCCUACUCACACACUUUUAUUUUUAUUCUUAUGGCAACUGCCCUGAAUUUAAGACUCUUUUCUAUUUCAUUUACCCAGUGUAUUAACCAGCUUUAUGUUACCACCGUGAAAUACCCAGGACAACUAACUCGGGAAGAAAAAGAUCGAUUCUGGCCCCUGGUUUUGAAGGUUCCAGUCCAAGACCCAGGGGCCCCAUCAGGGUCACGGUGGCAGAAAUGUGUGUUAGAGCAGACUGCUUAUGUGACAAGCCAGAAAGCAAAGAGAAGGACGGAGACUGGGGUCCCCAGGAAGGCACGGCCCAGUGACAUUAGGACCUCAGGGGAGGCCACCUCCUAAGUGUCUACCGCCUCCCAACAGUGCCACCCCGAGGAUGAGGCCCCUAACACGGGACUCUGGAGGACAGUGAGCCCCCGCACCAGCACCCAGUGCCGGCCAGGGUCUGUUCUGCACACCUGCAGACCCACACGUGCUUCUGCUGGGCCACAGGCUCCUUGGGCGGGGCGCGGCCGACGGAAGAACCGUGGCGCUUCUCUUCUUUCCUUCAAGACAAUCAGCACACCCUCUCAGGUGCUCCUCACUAACCUCCCAUGCUCCAUGCUUCCUGAAGCUUCUCCCACAUUCUCACUUGUGAAAUACAAAGAUCUUCAUGGGUCUCUAAAGCCUGUGUUCCCAAGAAUAUUUUCAUCACCUUUCAGUCUGGCUGUAUCUAGAGCUCUAGCUACAGAGUCGGCUUCCUUGGCACUUUAAAAAGACCCUUGGUGUGCUCCCCGUGUGCUGUGCAGAAGUCCAGUGUCCAGGGGCCUCGCGCUUUCAGGAUUCUUCUGGAACUUUCUUAGGGUACGGGUUUUCCAGUCUGUCUCCUGCUGACUGUGAGCUCUUUCGGCCUGAAAUGGUUUAUUUUCCUUCAGUUAAGGAGAAAUUCACCUCACGUUUCAAGCGUUCUCCCUCCUCUGCCCUUCAGACUCCUCUCCUGGGACGGUGCCGCUGUGCGCUGGCCCCUUGCAGCCUUUGACCCCCAGCUUCUCUGCACCUUCUCUGCCUUCUGACUUGGUGGGGGGGCUCGGUGCCCACAGCAGUGUCUUCCCUCUGUGCACGGCCUCCCUUAUCUGGGGUGCUCAGGGGACCCCCGUGCAGCUCUUGUCUCCUCUGGCCUCCCCGCGUCCACGAGGACCGCAAGUGCGAAGAGAACCCAGGGCCUGGCUCCCGCAGGGUCCCAGAGUCACCUCUGGAAAGACAAGGCUGACACCAAACCAGGCUGUGGGUUGGCCCAGUGGCCAAGGGCAGGGGUAGCCACUGUCCAGGAAAGACCACUGCUCCCUGGAAUGUGCCCGCUUGAGUCCCCCGGAGGAGGGAAUCGUCCUUUACCUCCACCUCCGUCCACCCCCUCCUGCACGCCUGGUGGGACCAGCCCUGUGCAGCAGAGGGGUGGAGGCCACCCUGCCACGGAGCCAGGGGCCACGAGGAGCAGCUGCCACGCGGCGUGGAGCAUGGGGCUUGCAGUGUGAUGGUCUAAACUGAGGCGGAGCUCUCCACAUCACAGAAGUCGAAGCUGGUCACAGUCUCGACUUCUUAGACCUGGUGACUUAUGUGUCACAGAGAGCUGUCUGGAGGCUGGAUGUCCCAGGUCACAGUGUUAGAAGAUUCACUGUGGGAGGGCCCGAGGCUCACAGAUGGCCGCCUGCUACGUGUCCACCUGGUGGCCAGUGUGAGGGGCUCCCUCAAGCACAACAUCUGGAAAAUAUUCGCAGCAAAACUCACGGGAUGUGGCCACAGCCCUGCUCAGAGGGAAGCUCCUAGCUUUAAACACAGGCCCAGCUGAAAAAGGAAAGUUUGAGAAAAAAUGAAUGAGCCGCCUGAUUCCUAGAAAGAAAGAAAGAGAAUCAAAGGAAAGUAAAAAGAGAAUAAGGCAAGUAAAAAGGGAAAGUAGAGUCUGUAAAGAGUCGUUCUUUACAAAGAAGCAGAUGAGAAAAAGAAAACUCUGCUUGUGUUACUCACGAAAGGAGGGAAGGUACAGCAUGGCUCAGAGCCAACCAGGAAAAACAGCCACAAACAGAAUGAUAAGACGUUGCAUAUGAAUAACCUGAAACAUGUAAGGAAUGAAUGAUUUUCUAAAUAAAAAAUCUCAGAAACUGAAACCAAAAUAGUUCAGCAACAUGGAAGGAAGCUGCGGCCCCAGGCCUGGCCCCGGUGCUUCCACAGUCUUUAAACACAAGAAUGCCCAGACCCCCUAAUGUGACUUAAAGUGACCAGGCUACUAAAAGGAAGGUGCCUACCUAAUUCUGUCUGUGAAACCAGUCCAUUACUGUCAAAACCCGGCAGAGAGACUUCAGAACAGAAAACUGACCCAUUUCAUGGCAAUCCAAGAGGCAAGCUUCAAUCCCAGACGCGGGCAGAACCCUGGCGUGCCUGCCCACAGCCCCACACUGUGGCUGACUUGUCUCCGUGUGGCUCUGCCCACGGGCCAGAGGCCUCGCACACUCCUAGGUGCAGGGGCUGGGCCACUUCUCUUCCACGUGGAUUCCAGGACCCUGGUCCACACUUGGGACGGAACCUUGGGCUUUGCUGGGUGACAGGCCUUGUGCUCUAAGGAGCAGCUCCCGGAUAGCAUCCUGGGGCUGGGCACAGAGAGCCGGCUCCUGUCUAGGCGCCUGGGGAGGGCAGAGGGGCUGGAGAUGUGUGAGCAGCAGACCCUGCCUAAGAGCUGUCCCCAUAUUCCCUGGGGAAACCUGACCCCAGUGUGACCGCUCACACUGGCCACCAGGUGGACACGCAGCAGGCGGCCAUCUGUGCGCCUCGGGCUCUCCCACGGUGAAUCUUCUAACACCGUGACCUGGGACGUCCAGCCUCCAGACAGCCCUCUGUGGCAUAUAAGUCACCCGGGCUAAGGUGUUUAGCCACAGCAGCCCAGAAAUGCACAGACAUGAAACUCCCUAAAAAUCUCUGGAGGCCUUGGAGACCUUAUGGGUUGAUGAACACACCCCUAGGGCAAGAGGGUAGUACACCCCAAUCCAUGGAGAAAGAUGCUCCUGUGCUGAGACCUCCUCUGCUGCCUGUUCGUCUGUGUCCUUCACCAGGCCCUGGACCACACAUCAGGGAUGCACCAGCAUUUCUCUGAAUUCUGAGAGCUAUCCUAGCAGAUUACGCAGCCUGAGGAGGGAGCCGUGAGAACCCUGGCUUGCAGGCAAGUCAGACAGAAGUGGAUAACCUGGGCCCCACUACUUACAGCUAAAGUCUGAUAUGGGCUCAGUUUUGAGGGAGGGACUGAGCCCAGCCCCGUGGGGUCUGCACAAGCUCCGGUAACUAGAAUUAGCAUUGAUUUUCAGGACACUCAAGUGUCAGAAAGUUGCAGAAUAGAUUGACAUGGGGAAAACCCUACACAUCUGGACUCAGAUGUAUUGAUUAUAAAGAAAAAAAAUUUCCAAAAGGAUGAAAUGAAAUUGUCAUUAUUUGCAGAUAAUGUGAUCCAGAAAACCUAAGGGGCCACCAAAGAGCUUCCGGGAGCAAGAAGUUUGAGUGCUUAAGAGAAACAGUCACCAGAAGGUAGCAGUUCCCAAGAGCACACACUAGCCAGACAAACCCACAGUGAGAAAGGUAAAAUGCAAGUUUGCCUAUGAAGAAAUCACACAGAAAACGCUGAGACCCUACUGAAAAGAGGUGAGCUGAUGAAAAGCACAGCAUGCCUUGGGGAAGGAAGAAGAAAUAUGCCAACAGACAAGUUUUCCCUGGGUCAAAACCACAUGCCCAACAUGCUCAGUCAGAAGAGCCACAGAAGUGCACGUGGAAAAACAGACGUCAGGACUAAUCAGGUCACUUGUCACAAAGGAGGAGGAGCAAGACCUGCCAAUCAGACUCAAGUACAUUAAGACAUCCUAAUCAUUAAAAAGAGUCCAGGAAAGAAGAGGAAGCAGAUCAAAAUUGUAUGUUAAAUGCUUCAUUUAAAGUAAUUUGGGGGAAAUAAAUCAGAGAUCAGGGGAGCAUAGGAAGGUGAAUCCCUGACAUCAAGAUAAAUUCCUGAUGGAAUAAACAUUAAUUUGUGGGAACAUGUAACUUUACAAAACUAGAAUGAAAAGUGGGGGCACAUGCAGCAGGCUGGGGUGGAGAUGGCAAGACCAUGCCAGGCCAUAGAGAAGACAGGUGGCCACUCAGGAGCUGACCUGGCUAGCACCAGGAACAAGAUCCACAGACCAGCCCCACGUCGGGAAAGCACUUCAGCUCAUACGAAGAUGAAGGGAGCUCCCAGAAGUGCACAGAGCUCAAGCAGACCAGCAGCACACACAGGAGCAAUCACCAGAUGGACAAGACAGUUUUCAGAAAGAAAACAGGGGCAGAGACCAUGCCUACAACUUCAGAGAUGCACACCCAGAACCAGGAGAUGCCAGGCCUACAGACCGGGAUUCAAGCAGGGAGCGAGGAGUACAGCCCACAUAACAGACAGGCUCCCUUGGACACGGCCUGCGGAGGCACAGCGACCCACGAUUUCAGUUCUCAGCUUUCUGCCCAUGAUCUGCUGUUGAGCACUGGGUUAAUCUGGGCUCAGCUCACCAAGGAUAGUGGAGGUGCCCACUACCACCCCCAAGGGUCAUAUAUGGGUCAAGUUCAGCACCUUGUGCAUGUGGGGGCUGCAGGAAACUUGGGGGCAGAGUCAGCAGCCCCUGAGCCUGGUCACUGGUGGACACAUGGCUUGGAAAGCAGCUUGGUGAGGUGGGAGACCUUGGUGGGGACCAGGCCCGCCCUGCUAUUUCAGGGGGUGGAGAGAGGCUGGUGGUGGGAAGUCCUGGUGUUCUGCAGCACAGGGCAUGACUGCUGAGAGCUGGCAGAGUCUGAAGACCUCACCACAGAGACACGUUCACUGUCAAAGGAGCGGAAAGUGCCGACUACCAGGAUGUGCUCACCACACACGUCGUGGGCAACACCAAACCGUCACAGUGUGCUCCACAAAAGUACCACACUGUGAGCCAAUAAACAAAGUGCCUGGUAUAAAAAUCCUGGGUGAGAAACAUCUGAUGAAUGAAUGAGUGAAUCAGUGAAUGAACAACUCCAUCUAUUUCCAAUAAAGUUAAAACAAAACUG